rnacentral:rRNA from 1 species
UACGUAGGGGGCAAGCGUUGUCCGGAAUUAUUGGGCGUAAAGAGCUCGUAGGCGGUCUGUCACGUCUGCCGUGAAAACCCGAGGCUUAACCUCGUGGCUUGCGGUGGAUACGGGCAGACUAGAGUGAUGUAGGGGAGACUGGAAUUCCUGGUGUAGCGGUGAAAUGCGUAGAGAUGUGGAGGAACACCGAUGGCGAAGGCAGCCCCCCUGGGUCAAGAUUGACGCUCAUGCACGAAAGCGUGGGGAGCAAACAGG